rnacentral:rRNA from 1 species
UACAGAGGUCUCAAGCGUUGUUCGGAUUCAUUGGGCGUAAAGGGUGCGUAGGCGGCGGGGCAAGUCUGAUGUGAAAUCCCGGGGCUCAACCCCGGAACUGCACUGGAUACUGCUCUGCUAGAGAUCUGGAGAGGAGACUGGAAUUUACGGUGUAGCAGUGAAAUGCGUAGAUAUCGUAAGGAAGGCCAGUGGCGAAGGCGAGUCUCUGGACAGAUUCUGACGCUGAGGCACGAAGGCCAGGGGAGCAAACGGG